GACGAACGCUGGCGGCGUGCUUAACACAUGCAAGUCGAACGGAAAGGCCCUGCUUUUGUGGGGUGCUCGAGUGGCGAACGGGUGAGUAACACGUGAGUAACCUGCCCUUGACUUUGGGAUAACUUCAGGAAACUGGGGCUAAUACCGGAUAGGAGCUCCUGCCGCAUGGUGGGGGUUGGAAAGUUUCGGCGGUUGGGGAUGGACUCGCGGCUUAUCAGCUUGUUGGUGGGGUAGUGGCUUACCAAGGCUUCGACGGGUAGCCGGCCUGAGAGGGUGACCGGCCACAUUGGGACUGAGAUACGGCCCAGACUCCUACGGGAGGCAGCAGUGGGGAAUAUUGCACAAUGGGCGGAAGCCUGAUGCAGCAACGCCGCGUGCGGGAUGACGGCCUUCGGGUUGUAAACCGCUUUCGCCUGUGACGAAGCGUGAGUGACGGUAAUGGGUAAAGAAGCACCGGCUAACUACGUGCCAGCAGCCGCGGUGAUACGUAGGGUGCGAGCGUUGUCCGGAUUUAUUGGGCGUAAAGGGCUCGUAGGUGGUUGAUCGCGUCGGAAGUGUAAUCUUGGGGCUUAACCCUGAGCGCGCUUUCGAUACGGGUUGACUUGAGGAAGGUAGGGGAGAAUGGAAUUCCUGGUGGAGCGGUGGAAUGCGCAGAUAUCAGGAGGAACACCAGUGGCGAAGGCGGUUCUCUGGGCCUUUCCUGACGCUGAGGAGCGAAAGCGUGGGGAGCGAACAGGCUUAGAUACCCUGGUAGUCCACGCUGUAAACGGUGGGUACUAGGUGUGGGGUCCAUUCCACGGGUUCCGUGCCGUAGCUAACGCUUUAAGUACCCCGCCUGGGGAGUACGGCCGCAAGGCUAAAACUCAAAGGAAUUGACGGGGCCCCGCACAAGCGGCGGAGCAUGCGGAUUAAUUCGAUGCAACGCGUAGAACCUUACCUGGGUUUGACAUGGAUCGGGAGUGCUCAGAGAUGGGUGUGCCUCUUUUGGGGUCGGUUCACAGGUGGUGCAUGGCUGUCGUCAGCUCGUGUCGUGAGAUGUUGGGUUAAGUCCCGCAACGAGCGCAACCCUUGUUCACUGUUGCCAGCACGUUAUGGUGGGGACUCAGUGGAGACCGCCGGGGUCAACUCGGAGGAAGGUGGGGAUGACGUCAAGUCAUCAUGCCCCUUAUGUCCAGGGCUUCACGCAUGCUACAAUGGCUGGUACAGAGAGUGGCGAGCCUGUGAGGGUGAGCGAAUCUCGGAAAGCCGGUCUCAGUUCGGAUUGGGGUCUGCAACUCGACCUCAUGAAGUCGGAGUCGCUAGUAAUCGCAGAUCAGCAACGCUGCGGUGAAUACGUUCCCGGG
rnacentral:rRNA from 1 species